ensembl:lncRNA
GUGAAUUGAGGAGUUGCCGUGAAUUGGAAUGUCGGUGUGAGAGACUCGUCGGUUACUGAGGCGACUCGGGGACGUCAGAAAUAAUAAUGGUGGUUGUGAAUCUUUUUCAGUGUGAGUCCCCCUCGUAUACGGAGAUCUCUUUUUUUACGGCAAAUUUUUGCAGUGUUUUAUUUUUUUUAGACUCUUCUCUAUGAAUUUCCUCAGAUAAGAGCCUACGUCCUCUCUCUAAAACUUCUUUUAAAGAGUCUCGGGUUUCGUCAGCGUGUGGCGAACAGUACGGUACACUGGUGUGGUCGCCGGACGUCUCUGCUCGGUGUGCGUCUUAGUGUGCUGUGUACUAAUGAUUCUCAUUUUUAUUUACAUCAUAGUGUAAAGCGCGAAAAAAAAAAAAAAUAACAGCGUUGUAGAUUUUCUGUGGCCCCCCCCCCCCAGUUUGAGAACCAGCGCUCCAGAGCACGUAUUGUGUAAAUACUGUGUGAAAUAGUUGUGUAGUUAUCGUGAAGUAUAAACACAAAGCCGCUCGGUCUAUCGUAGGCUCCAGGCUGCUAAACUCAGGCACUUAUUUGGCUGUAAUUUCCUCUGAUGGUUUUUUUCUCUCUCUCUCUUUUUUUAUUUUUUUAUAGCUGACAGAAUUAGCACACAAGUUUUUUUUUUUUUUUUUUUUUUUUUUUUUACCCAUGAUGCUCCAGUGACUGAACAUGUUGCUUUUGAGAAGUAGACUACAUUAAUACACACUGAUGUUCCCCUUCUAAUGCACCGAGUAUACUCUGUAGGGGGAACAUCAGGUUCCUGUCUCAUCCACAUGCAAACAUCACUUCCCGCGUGUGUGUGUGUGUGUGUGUGUGUGUGUGUGUGUGUGAGAGAGAGAGAGAGAGAGUGAUCGCAUUCUCUUUUCUCUUUUACAAACACCUGUCCUGUAGAGGAACCAGCAGGUCGAUAACAUCGGCAGGAAGUGGUGCAGUGUCUGCACUUUAUCUCUGGUGCACUUCAUUAAGGCGGUCUCUGAGACUGCACACGCGUCGGGUUAACGAAUAAAACACUCCACUCGUGUGAGUAAAGAUGUGCUGAUGGGUUUUUUUUGGCCUUCAUCUCUGGAGGGAAAGUGCUGCAGUCUGUCCAGAGAGCCCGUGACGCUGUUUCCCAGCGCCUGCGACGAAGACUCUGUCGAACAUCGCAGCGCCGUCGAAUUCCCCUUUCCGAUUGGUCCGAGGGUGUCGGUUCGUUUUCUCUAACAGCGGCUCUGACUGUAGCGUGGCUGUAAUUCCAACCGCAGGGGGAUCUUAACGCUCUCGUUACACGGGACAAAUAAACCGAUGGGAAUAAACGCGUCGGUGACGUUGUCUCCGAGGAGACGUUUAACAUUUAAGGAGUCUCCAGGGUCUUGAAGUUUUCACGCGGCGAUUCUCGGUAACAUCGGGCGGGGUGAUGGGACACAAGUAUCUUUUCAAGGACGCUUCUACGAUACGCGACGUGUACGUCACUGAUUGUCGUUUUUGGUCUGAUCGGGGUUUUUCUUCACAGAUCUCACAAAGUUUCUGUCAUCAGGCGGUGGUGUUUUCCUUGUCCGACCCGUUCGGUGUCUCUCUCGGUACACCAGGGGUUUCUUUCUCAUUCAGGACGUUCCAAAUCGUUGUGUUGGCUACAUCCAGUGUUUGUUUUCAGCUUCAGCUUAAACGGCGUUCUUGUUCUCCCAUUGACAGCUCUCUGAUCUUCGUGUUGGUUUAUCCUUUUUAACAACCAACGCCGUCUACACAGGCGAAACGGAAGGCUACAACCAAUUUAGAGCUGUUUAUUGUUUGAACAGGACACACCUGGGUCACAAGAAACCCCUGUCAAAUCAGGUGGUCCGAUCCAAAAAUGUGUUCUGUUUCUGUGUGGUUUAACACGUCUACACCAGGAAAUGGAAGCUGAAAUGCCCAACUCUGUUUUCUCAUAUUCGUCUUUCGAUUUCAAACCCAAAACGUCUUCGGUCUGCAGCACAGACAAUGCACUGGCCGUUCCAAUAGUUUCGGAGGCAGCUGUACACAAUUUCUGCAUUUUGUCGUUGGUUUUUUCCCCCCUCUUUACUUGUGCACUGGAGUCGCAAGGCAAAUGUAGAGAAGUCCAAACUUUAUCACAGUCAGUUUUGUUAUAUUUAGCUUUGUCUCGGACUUCCCUGCGCACUUUAUUGGGGUUUUUUAACGUUUCAGUCAAAUUAGCCAGGGUCACUUCUCAGAAAUGUCUGAUGACAUGGCGCUAGAGCAGAUGUGGAUUCUGGUCAGGGAAAAACCCGGUUUAUUUUCUGGGACGGGUUCAGGAGGUGUUGGAUUUCUCAACGCACAUCUGCUCUUUCUGCAGUUCCCCAUACAGACACCACUGAUCAUCAGUGUACUAACUGCCAUGACUCAAUGACACUAAAACACAUUUAAUGCUCUCUCUUUCUCUUCUCUCUCUCUUCUGUCUCUCUUCUCACUCCUCUCUUCUCUUCUCUCUCUCUCCUCUUUCUCUCUCUCUCUCCUUUCUUCCCUCUCUCCUCUCUCUCUCCUUCUUCUCUCUCUCCUUCUUCUCUCUCUCUCCUAUCUCCCCUCUCUCUCUCUCCUUUCUUCCCUCUCUCCUCUCUCUCUCUGUCUCUCUCUCUCUCUCUCCUCUUUCUCUCUCCUC